GCCUGAUUGUUCACGCUUGGUUCGGAAUCACUGGGCGUAAAGCGCGUGUAGGCGGUUCGAUAAGUCGGACGUGAAAGCCCGGGGCUUAACCCCGGAAGGGCAUCCGAAACUGUCGAGCUUGAGUACGGGAGAGGGAAGCGGAAUUCCUGGUGUAGAGGUGAAAUUCGUAGAUAUCAGGAGGAACACCGGUGGCGAAGGCGGCUUCCUGGACCGAUACUGACGCGGAGACGCGAAAGCGUGGGGAGCAAACAGGAGGAGAUACCCCCGUAGUCC
rnacentral:rRNA from 1 species